rnacentral:lncRNA from 1 species
GAUCAUAAUCUGCAGGCUGACAGAGGAAUGAAAAUGUGAAGGUUGUGAAGUAGAAACAUUUCAGCCCUAAAGAACAAGGUUCUUCUGUGAACAAGGUCAGGAUUGACAUCACCAUGCAAAUUUAUUGGACUUUCCAAAGAGAAUGAUGAGUAUUUUUUUCCUGAGUUUAACAUUUAUUCAUCCAUUUUUUUUUUUACUUUGACACAAAAUGGGCUGAAACUAUUUAGCAAAUCUGGAAUUAAUAGAACAUUAAAAUGACCCCCCCUUUGACUGUAGGUAACUACCAUUUACACUCCGAGAAAUUACCACACAAUCUGUGGAAUUUAAACGUAGUCCUUAGAAUGAGGUAGAGUCAUCUAUAGACCAAGAGACAUACCAAGAACUCUGCCUUUUCACAGAUCCUUCCUCCAUCUCUGGUAGGGAGGUAGUUUUUGAGUGUCAUUUGUCCUAGGAUGUUCUACAUUUAGUGUUAAGAAUUGCUGAUCUGCACGUCUCCUUUGUUAAACUCUAAAUAACAUAUGGUGAAAGUCUUGGGCUUUUCAUGCUUGUACUUCAGUGCCUACCACAUAGUGGGCCUUUUUUGUUUUUUUGCAGUACUGAGAAUUGACACAGGUCCUCUGCAUGCUGGGCAAGUGCUGUAGCCCUGAGCUACAUCCCCA